CAACUAAAGAUGUGGGUUCUUCGAUCUCUGAGUUUACAACAUUGAUUUGGGGAUUUGUUCACGACUCGAUCUGGGUUUUUCCGGCCACUCAAUCAACAAGGAGGAGGAAAAGGGGGUUUCGCGCAGUUUUUCUUAACCCUAGAAGAUGAAGCCUUAGUUCCGUCAUUUAAAGGUCCUCAACUCCAAGACUUGCUUGGAACAUAGAAGAUUCAUAGCUCAGGAGCUUGCGAUGUUGAGUUCCCGGUUUUGCAUCCUCCUUGGAGUUAUCAAUUGUCUGGUGCUUAGGACAGGGAUUACUGAAGAAUCUCACGAACAUCAGAAUAACGCUCUGUUUACAGAUGGUAAUGAGGAUGGUAUUCGAGGUUUGGUACUUCAUAUGGUAUUGCUGGUAGCAGUGAGAAGGGGAGCAAGGGUAGAAGCUCGGGGAGCUUUAGAAAGAUGAUGAAGUGUCUUUGCUUGGGAGAGCAGUUAAGAGCACCAUAUGAUUUGGUAUUUUCAAAUGUGGAAUGAGUGGGCUAAGUUUGUCGUCAAUACAUAUAUCUAAGAGCUAUUAGAAUGACUUUUUGUGUUUGAUGAAUGUAUAGAUGAUUAGGAAAUACAUCAUUUGUAGUAUGUAUAGAUGACUAUAAUGUAUGAAUUUGAGUGCUUUAAUUGA